CAAUUGUUUUUGAAAUGAAGAUAUAAUUAACAUAAAAAUCGAUAUUUGCACAUGCCUCCAUGUUGUCUGUGUGUUUGACACAGGCGGCCCUGACAGGAUUCGAUCUUGAGUUCAAAGAAAUCCUCCUGCCUCAGCCUUGACGUCCCUCAACUGAAGAAUGGAUAAGGAAAAUGUGGUACAUCUAUGCAGGUAUUAAAAACCAAAGACAUCAUCAGUUCUGCAGACAAAUGAGUGGAGCUUGAGAAUAUCAUUCUGCAUAAGUUAACUCAGAGCCGGAAAGACAGGUAAGGUCUUCUUUACCACUGAGGAAAGACGGAAUCCUACUGGAGACCAGAAAAAAAUGUUCCAGACACGCAUAGAAGGCCCUCACUUCUGCCUGCUCUCUUCAUACCCCUGAAGGUAGGGAGUGCUCCAGGUCUGCCCCCAGGCUCCAAGGGUGGGUCUCCUAGGGGCUGGAAAGUGCCCCACCAAUCUGGCUAAGAUAAGGAAAAGAUAUGAAGAGAAAGUUACAGAAACUUGAAGGGUUAAGCUAAGUCGCUGAGAGAGUUAUUGUAAGUUGAUGCAUGGUUCAGGGUCUGUGCAGAAAAGUGGACAGCACCUAAUAGCUGUAGAAGAAGAUGCAGAGAGACAGAAAAAAAAGAAAGAAAGAAAGAAAGAGGUAAAGAGUGCAGGAAGCUAGGGAAGAAAAGAGACUAAAAGAAGAGGAAGCUAGAGAGCUAAAGAGAGAUAAAAGACAAGAGAGGAACAUAUACUGGCCACAGUAGUUAGGGAACCUAAGAAGAUAGUACCUGGCAACAGAAGAGAAUUCCUGGCUAAAGAUCAGUGUGCCUAAUACGAAGAAAAAAAAGGACACUGGGUCAGGGACUGCCCAAGAAAGAACAAAAGGGAGGGGCUGGGGAUUUAGCUCAGUGGUAGAGCGCUUACCUAGGAAGCGCAAGGCCCUGGGUUCGAUCCCCAGCUCCGAAAAAAAAAGAACCAAAAAAAAAAAAAAAAAAAAAAAAAAAAAAAAAAGAAAGAACAAAAGGGGCCACUGGAGAGCUUCUUGGUCCUAGAGUGCUGG
ensembl:lncRNA